rnacentral:rRNA from 1 species
CCUACGGGUGGGCAGCAGUGGGGAAUAUUGCACAAUGGGCGAAAUCCUGAUGCAGCAACGCCGCGUGAAGGAAGACGGUUUUCGGAUUGUAAACUUCUAUCAAUAGGGAAGAAAGAAAUGCCGGUACCUACCUAAGUAUCCCCGGCUAACUACGUGCCAGCAGCCGCGGUAAUACGGAGGGGGCAAGCGUUAUCCGGAAUUACUGGGUGUAAAGGGAGAGUAGGCGGGAAGGUAAGCGAUAUGUGAAAGCCUUAAGCUUAACUUAAGGAUUGCAUAACGAACUAUCGAGCUAGAGUACAGGAGAGGAAAGCGGAAUUCCUAGUGUAGCGGUGAAAUGCGUAGAUAUUAGGAAGAACACCAGUGGCGAAGGCGGCUUUCUGGACUGAAACUGACGCUGAGGCUCGAAAGCGUGGGGAGCGAACAGGAUUAGAUACCCCAGUAGUC